rfam:Aerococcus urinaehominis strain CCTG42038B, complete genome.
GCCGGAUUAGCUCAGUUGGUAGAGCAGUGCACUCGUAACGCAAAGGUCACAGGUUCAAAUCCUGCAUCCGGCA